CCUACGGGAGGCAGCAGCAGGGAAUCUUGCGCAAUGGGCGAAAGCCUGACGCAGCGACACCGCGUGGGGGAAGAAGGCUCUUGGGUUGUAAACCCCUUUUCUCGGGGAAGAGUAAGGACGGUACCCGAGGAAUAAGGUUCGGCUAACUACGUGCCAGCAGCCGCGGUAACACGUAGGAACCGAGCGUUGUCCGGAAUUACUGGGCGUAAAGGGCGAGUAGGUGGCUCGUUAAGUCUUGUGUGAAAUCUCCCGGCUCAACUGGGAGGGGUCAUGAGAUACUGGCAGGCUUGAGGGCAGUAGAGGAAAGUGGAAUUCCCGGAGGAGUGGUGGAAUGCGUAGAUACCGGGAGGAACACCAGUGGCGAAAGCGACUUUCUGGGCUGUUCCUGACACUGAGGCGCGAAAGCAUGGGGAGCAAACCGGAUUAGAUACCCGGGUAGUCCAUGCCCUAAACGAUGGAUACUAGGUAUUGGGGGUAUCGACCCCCCCUGUGCCGAAGCUAACGCGAUAAGUAUCCCGCCUGGGGAGUACGGCCGCAAGGCUAAAACUCAAAGGAAUUGACGG
rnacentral:rRNA from 1 species